rnacentral:rRNA from 1 species
CGGCAUGGAUUAGGCAUGCAAGUCGAACGAGGAAGUGCCCCGUAAGGGGCGCAAGCCUAGUGGCGAAAGGGUGAGUAAUGCAUUGAUAACCUGCCUUUGAGAUGGGAAUAACUGCGUUUCGAGCAAUCGGAACUACCGAAAGGGCUGCUAAUACCCAAUAAUACUAUAGGUGCAAAAGCACUUGUGGUCAAAUGCUAGGAAUUCUGUUCCUUGUGCUUAAAGAGGGGUUAAUGUCCUAUCAGCUAGUUGGUGGGGUAAUGGCCUACCAAGGCAAAGACGGGUAGCCGGCUUGAGAGGGUGGUCGGCCACACUGGGACUGAGACACUGCCCAGACUCCUACGGGAGGCUGCAGUCGAGAAUCUUUCGCAAUGCCCGAAAGGGUGACGAAGCGACGCCGCGUGUGGGAAGAAGGCCUUCGGGUUGUAAACCACUGUCGGGAGUUAGGAAAUGCAGGUGCGUUAAUAGCGCACUUGCUUGACUAAGGCUCCAGAGGAAGCCACGGCUAACUCUGUGCCAGCAGCCGCGGUAAU